AUACGAGGGGUGCAAGCGUUGUUCGGAAUUACUGGGCGUAAAGGGAGCGUAGGCGGAGAUUCAAGCGGAUUGUACAAUCCCGGGGCCCAACCCCGGCUCUGCAGUCCGAACUGGAUCUCUUGGAUAGUUCAGGGGCAGGCGGAAUUCCUGGUGUAGCGGUGGAAUGCGUAGAGAUCAGGAAGAACACCGAUGGCGAAGGCAGCCUGCUGGGGACUUAUCGACGCUGAGGCUCGAAAGUGCGGGUAGCAAACAGGAUUAGAUACCCUGGUAGUCCGCACCGUAAACGAUGCAUACUGGGUGUCCGGGGGUUCCCCCGGGUACCGUAGCCAACGCGUUAAGUAUGCCGCCUGGGGAGUACGUACGCAAGUAUGAAACUCAAAGGAAUUGGCGGGG
rnacentral:rRNA from 1 species